GACGAACGCUGGCGGCGUGCUUAACACAUGCAAGUCGAACGAAGAGCGACGGAAGCUUGCUUCUAUCAAUCUUAGUGGCGAACGGGUGAGUAACGCGUAAUCAACCUGCCCUUCAGAGGGGGGCAACAGUUGGAAACGACUGCUAAUACCGCAUACGAUCUAACCUCGGCAUCGAGGAUAGAUGAAAGGUGGCCUCUACAUGUAAGCUAUCACUGAAGGAGGGGAUUGCGUCUGAUUAGCUAGUUGGAGGGGUAACGGCCCACCAAGGCGAUGAUCAGUAGCCGGUCUGAGAGGAUGAACGGCCACAUUGGGACUGAGACACGGCCCAGACUCCUACGGGAGGCAGCAGUGGGGAAUCUUCCGCAAUGGACGAAAGUCUGACGGAGCAACGCCGCGUGAGUGAUGACGGCCUUCGGGUUGUAAAGCUCUGUUAAUCGGGACGAAAGGCCUUCUUGCGAAUAGUGAGAAGGAUUGACGGUACCGGAAUAGAAAGCCACGGCUAACUACGUG
rnacentral:rRNA from 1 species